GACGAACGCUGGCGGCGUGCUUAACACAUGCAAGUCGAACGGAAAGGCCCUGCUUUUGUGGGGUGCUCGAGUGGCGAACGGGUGUGUAACACGUGAGUAUCCUGCCCUUGACUUUGGGAUAUCUUCAGGAAACUGGGGCUCAUACCGGAUAUGAUCUCCUGCUGCAUGGUGGGGGUUGGAAAGUUUCGGCGGUUGGGGCUGGACUCGCGGCUUAUCAGCUUGUUGGUGGGGUAGUGGCUUACCAAGGGUUUGACGGGUAGCCGACCUGAGAGGGUGACCGGGGACAAUGGGACUGAGAGACGGCACAGACUGCAACGGGAGGCAGCAGUGGGAAAUAUUGCACAAUGGGCGGAAGCCUGAUGCAGCAACGCCGCGUGCGGGAUGACGGCCUUCGGGUUGUAAACAGCUUUCGACUGUGACGAAGCGUGAGUGACGGUAAUGGGUAAAGAAGCACCGGCUAACUACGUG
rnacentral:rRNA from 1 species